GGUGAUCCUGUAGGACACCUGCAAGGCACACUACCCAAUCGACAAAGCUAACAAUUUUCCCUUAGUCCAUUAUAAACAUUUAAUCAAUCCAUUCCUAGUAUAGUCAAACUACUCCAUCAUAUCAUCAAUCCAACUUAACACACUUACGUUCAAUCUAUUCAAUCUAUCACAAAAUCAGUUGAUACUAUAACAACACACCAGACAGUCAAGAUAUAUAUAUAUACAUAACACCUUUCUCAGUUUACAAAUACAUUAUCCAUCGUAUCUACUUCUAUACCAGUAAGUUUACAAACACUAACUGUUGAGUUUCUACAGUAGAUUCUUGAAGAUGUGACUCUUGAACAGAUGGAUUCUCAUGGAUGAUCACAUGUUUGUUAUUUUGAUGGUCAUCAUUCUUGUCCAGAUUGUGAUGACUAGAAUCAUCACGAAGAUCAUCAUACAUGUUGUUAAUAUCAUCAAACAAUUGAUUCUGAUUCUAGUAUAGAAAGAAAAAAGGAUAAUAAAAAAAAAUAGUUACAAAAUGAUCGUGUAUCCUUAAGCAAACAAUCGUGUAGAAUAUCUAAACGGUUGUUUUACCAAGGGUGAUCGAUAUUUUAGAUGGGAUAUGCGAUCGUUCAUAUGUGAUAUGUGAUCGUGUAAAGAUAUAUCAAACCUUUGUUCUGUCAGAAGUCGUGCUAAGAAGAGUUGAAAGCUUGUAAUAAGAUCCAUCAAAACUGAAAGAUUUUACAUCAACACGUUCCUGACACAGUAAUGCAGUAUCAAUGAGCAUCAAAUUACGUGAGAUACGUAUUAGAAAAUAUCUAACUGCUCAGUUAAUUUUUUAUGGACAUCAAAUCACCUUUUUUCAAGCUUAAGGAAGGAAAUGUCGGCACUAUAUAUGUCAGAGUUGUGCAUUGCAAUGGAAGUGCCAACACGAGGUGAUACAUGUGUGUCUUUCUGGGAUGUAAAUGCCACUCCCGACUAGGACCAACAUAGUCUUAGGGAGAAAGCAUGCUAGGAAUUGGAGUUGUGUCCUCAAUUUCUUCAAGGGACUUGAGCAUUUCUUCUUACACUAGAAUGUCUCCUGUUCAGAGAGUUUAUAGGAUUUCUCAAGGCCAUUUUUGCAUACUUAACAGCUCUUGACAACGGUAGAGAGUCUAACUCUACACUUUCAGGGGGUUCCAACUCCACCACUCGCUGAGCCAAAGAUAGAGACGAAUCAUUAAUGAUCCAGUAAGCAACAUGAAACCUUGUAAUUUUGGGGUCAACGGUAGUCCCUCCCAUUACUAGCUCAACACUCAAACGGAGUCUCCUGUAUAAAAUAUAAAAUAAUACAGACACAAAUAGUGAAUGAAAUCUUGUGACGUAACAAACACAAAUUUUAGGUAUACUGCAAUUUGACUAAAUAUUGAACAAGAAAACCCAAGGGAAUACACAAAAAUCCAACGUUUUUAGGGGUCAAUUUGGAAAAUGGCAAAACUACUUUUUCUUUUCAAUUUUAGCAAACAACAUUUUUUGCGCGUGCAUGGUAUUUUAUAAAAUACCAAAAUAUUCACCUUCUCCAACUAUAAUUAUUUUGUUUUUACGUUAUAAUUAAUUUAUGUUAUGUAUUUAUCAACUUUUAAUUAAUUUUUACUUGAAAUAGAUACAUCAACUCAUAUCAUAACUUUUCUCUUAAAAUCUCAGGACUCAAUUAAUUAAUUCAACAUUUUAAUAACAUUAUUCAAUCUUAUUAAUUUCAAAAUAAUCUAAUUGAAUUUGAAUUUCAAAAUAACCAAAUUGAAUUUCAAAAUUACAAAAUUAUUAUUUUUUAGAAUUUGAGAAUCUCAACGAUAGAUUUUAUAUUAAAAUAACCUUAUCUCAAAAUAAUUUUAAUGACUUGAAUAUCAAGAUAAUUAAAUUAUUAUUUUAAAAUUGGAAGAAAAGCACAAAAAGCGCACACGCCCACUCACGUACACACGCACGCGCGUAUACGCACACACACGCACACGCACACGCACAAAGCGCACACGUGGACACUCACACCCACGCACACGUAGACACACACACCCACGCACACGUGGACACGCGCAUACGCACACACGUACGCACUCACGCACACGCACGCACACACGCACAUAUGCACAAAGAUGUAUAAAUGAAUUAAAAUUAAAAAAUAACUACAAUAAUUAUGUUUAGAAAGACUUUUAAACCAUGUUCAUUUGACUUAAUAACGUUAAUUAAAUUAUAAUUUCUAUCAAUAUUGGUUUAAAAGUGUCAUUAGUGUAAUUAUUUCAAUAUAAUGCAGUCUUAUCCAAUUUUACGAACAAAAAACAAGUCGAAUAUGUACCAGUAGAUGACACUCUUUGUCAUAAGAGAUAUAGCAACGUUUUUAUGGGUCAUUUUGAAAAAUGGCAAAACUACUUUUUCUUUUAAAUUUUAGCAAAUAGAAUUUUUUACACGUGUCCAUGAUAUUUAUAAAAUACCAAAAUAUUCACCUUCUCAAACAGUAAUUAUUUCGUUUCUACGUUGUAAUUAAUUUAUGUUAUGCAUUUAUUAGCUUUUAAUUAUUUUUUACCUGAAAAAGAUACAUCCUUUUUUCUUAAUAUCUCGGGACUCAACUAAUUGAUUCAAGAUUUUAAUUUUAUUCAAUCUUACUAAUUUCAAAAUAACCUAAUUAAAUUUCAAUUUCAAAAUAACAAAAUUAUUAUUUUUCGAAAUUUGAGAAUCUCAACGAUAGAUUUUGUAUCAAAAAUAACUUUAAUUGAAUUUCAAAAUUAAAAAAUAUUAACUUGUUCGCACACAAGCACACCCGCACACGUGCACAACGCACGCACACACACCCAUCCACACACGCACACGCACACGCACAAAGAUGUGUAAAUUAAUUAAAGUUAAAAAACAAAUACAUUAAUUAUGUUUAGAAAGAGUUUUAAACCAUGUUCAUUUGACUUAAUAACAUUGAUUAAAUUAUAAUUUCUAUCAAUAUUGGCUUAAAAGUGUCAUUCGUGUAAUUAUUUCAAUAUAAUGCGGUCUUAUCCAAUUUUACCAACAAAAAACAAAUCGAAUAUGGAUCAGUAGAUCUACACUCUUUGUCAUAAGAGACAUAACAACGUUUUUAGGGGUCAUUUUGAAAAAUGACAAAACUACUUUUUCCUUUGAAUUUUAGCAACUAGCAUUUUUGCACGUGCAUGGUAUUUUAUAAAAUACCAAAAUAUCAACAUUCUUCAACUGUAAUUAUUUCGUCUCUACAUUGUAAUUAAAUUUAUGUUAUGCAUUUCUCAGCUUUUAAUUAUCUUUUACUUGAAAUAGAUACAUCAACUCAUAUCAUAAUAUUUUUCUUAAUAUCUCGAGACUCAACUAAUUAAUUCAACAUAUUAAUAACUUUAUUCAAUCAUACUAAUUUCAAAAUAACCUAAUUGAAUUUGAAUUUCAACAAAUUAACAAAAAUUAUAUUUUUUCGGAAUUUGAGAGUCUCAACGAUAGAUUUUGUAUUAAAAUAACCUUAAUUGAAUUUCAAAAUUAAAAAAUAUCAACCUGUUCACUAUCUUUAUCUCAAAAUAACAUUAAUGCCUUAAAUAUCAAGAUAAUUAAAUUAUUAUUUUAAAAUUGGGGAAGAAACUCAACAUUAAAAAAUAUUAACUUGUUCGGACACAAGCAUAGAAGCACUGCGCACACACGUACACAUGCACACUUACACACACGCGCGCACACGCACACCUACACACAGACACCCACAGACGCACGAACCCACGCACACACAAUGCACACGCGCACGCAUGCACACACACACCUAUCCACACGCACACAAGCACACACACAUGCACAAACGCACACACGUGUACGCACAAACCUUAUCUCAAAAUAGUUCCUAUUUUGCUGACAGUUUAUUUUUUGCCAUCGAUAGAGGAUCUUCCAAUAGACCUACGUGACGGUGUGUGUUGACAGCUUAAUUUUGUUGGCAAAAGAAAAGUUGAUUAGUUUUUGAAGAUUUACUGACGAUAUUUGUCAUCGACAAAGGGUAAAUUUCUUGUAGUGCAUGUACAUCAAACAUAUCAAAUUUGUUAAGUGUACCAAUGAAGUAUAACAAGUUUAUUAGUGGUGUAUCACGUGUAUCAAACUUAUAAGUGAAGUCUUUAAGUGUAUCAAACUAAUCAAGUGUAUCAAGGUCUCAGGGGUAUCAAGUGUAUCAAGAAGAAUCAAGUGUAACGAGAAGUAUUAUGUGGAACGAGAAGUAUUAUGUGUAUGAAGAUGUUUCAAGUGUGUAUCAAAAAGUAUCGAGUGUAUCAAUGAGUACCGAGUGCAUGAAUUGUAUCUAUCAAAUGUAUCAAGUGUAUCAGUAAGAAGUAUCAAGUGUAUCAAGGGGUAUUAGGUGUAUCAGACGUGUAUAAGGUGUAUCAAAUAUACAUCAAUAACGAGGGCAUUUGUGACAUUUUACCUCUUGAUGUGUGAGUUGGUCUUUGUUUUUGUCAUUUUCUCAAAUAAUAAAGUAUGUGUUCUAUGGACUUAAUUAUUAUAACUUAUUUUGCCAUUUUCGCAAGUGUCCCUUAAUUGUAAUACAUGUAUAUGUGACAUAAUCUAAUCAAACUAACUCAUAAAUGGACUUAAUGUAUCAAGAGGUAUUAGGUGUAUCAGACGUGUAUAAGGUGUAUCAAAUGUACAUCAAUAACGAGGGCAUUUGUGACAUUUUACCUCUUGAUGUGUGAGUUGGUCUUUGUUUUUGUCACUUUCUCAAAUAAUAAGGUAUGUGUUCUAUGGACUUAAUUAUUAUAACUUAUUUUGCCAUUUUUGCAAGUGUCCCUUAAUUGUAAUACAUGUAUAUGUGACAUAAUAUAAUCAAACUAACUCAUAAAUGGACUUAAUCUAUCUCAUGGACCACGAAUUCUUCAAUUACUUGCAAAUUUGGUGAGUUCCUUCAAAUGGUGGGCGGAGAGCUUAAUUUUGAGAGAGAGGAAAAGUCGUGAAGAGUAUUUGCGAGAGAGGGGGGAACGUCGCCAGAGAGCAUUUGCGAGAGAGCUAAAGACAGCGACGAUGUGGGAUGAAGUAAGGUUUUUUUCGGUCAUUGUUCACAAGUGGGAUGAAAGCUUCGAAUUAUUUGUUUUAAAUCAAAAAACGUAUGAUUGAAGGAAAACAUUGAUUUUUUAUUAGGGUAAUUUUUAAUGACACAUAAUUUAUGCCAUUAUUUACAAUGCCAAAAUUUUGUCAAGAAAACUCAAUUUGUGUCACAAAAAAUUUUGUAUUUUUAUUUUUAACGACACAUUUUAUUCCCUCAUAUCCCUUUUUCUUGAUUUCAAGUGUCAUUAAAACUUAUAUUUCUAAAUAAAUUUAUUCGACGAAAGUGGCUAGAUUGGUGGGUUUGACGGCGAAGGCUUGUUGUGGGAGCAACGACAACAGUGGUUGGAGUGUGGAAUCGACGACGGCAAGUGGCAAAAAAUUGGAGGGCAAGGGUUCUUCAUAACGACUCGGUAGCCCACUUCGAAUUUUUUUGAAAUUUGAGGUUUUUUCAUUUGAAAAUUUUUUUAAUGACAAAAAAAUUGUCGUUAAUUAAUGACGCAAAAAUUGUGUUGAAAUAAAUUAAAUUGUGUCAAUAUGAUUGUUUUAAGAAAUAAUCCAUAUUUUUAUUUUCAACAAACACAAUGUACCUCAUCCCACCUCUUUUUUCUUUUAUUUUCAACGACACAAUGUCUUGAUUAAAAUCCAUUUUUCUAGUAGUGACUGAAAAAAAAACUGGACAAAAUCAUAAUAUCUUUGAUAAUUAAAUCACCAGUUGGUUUGAACAUAUAUAAUCUUGGAUCUAUUCUAUUAUGAUAUGACCAUGGUACAUCAUGAACAUACAUUGACUAAAAAACUUAAAUUGAUGAGUGAAUGUAAUAAAUUUAAUAUUAAUUAUAUGAUCAAUACUUUACACAUGUAUAUUGGUAUAUCAGUCAAUAACAGUAGUAAGACAAAUUAUAAAAUAUAAGGGAUAAAAGUCCUACACAUGCAUGUAUGGUAUACUCUCUUGAUAGCAAAAUGCAUUUAUGUCAACUCAUGUUUGAAUGCAUUUAUGUAGGAAAUUCAAUAAAAUAAUUAAGAAAUCUUGCAAUAUGUGAGAGAUAUACGAACUUCAAACAAAUUUUACAAGUUUCAGCAAAAAUUUCAAACAACUUUUAAAGUUUAAGCAAAAAGUAACCGUAGGUAGGAAGGGGAGCAAAAGUGGGGUCUCGAAUUAAUUCUGAAAAAUUAGUAGGCUUUCAAAAUUUAGGUUCUAGAAGUAGAAUUAUUGCAGAAAAAUAAAUAAUUGCAUCAUUCAAAUUGAAUCAAACAUAUCAGGAUGUUAUAUUCUCCACAACGUAUAAUGGAGUACAAACAUAAAGUUUCUAUAUACAAAGCUAUGUAUCUCUACCCUUGACUUCUCUUUCUCUCUUUCUACCUUUUUUAUCCUUUCACUACUACAAAAUCUACUUUACUUGACACUAUGUACUUUUACAUACUUGACAUUUUUAUUAAAAAAACGUCAAGUAAUGAUCAUUUCAAAAGAAAAGCGUCAAGUAUAGUUUAAAAAAGGGGAAACUUUCACGAAAGUUUUCAAACUAUUUUACAUUAGUUUUUACUUGACGUUUUUUUCGCGUCAAGUAUAAGAAGAUUUUACUUGACGUUUUAUUCGCAUCAAGUAUAACGAACUUUUACUUGACGAGAACAAAAUGUCAAGUAUAACGAACUUUUACUUGACAUGAACAAAACGUCAAAUAUAACGAACUUUUACUUGAUGCGAACAAAAUAUAAUGCAUAAUUUACUUGACGUUUGUUAGCUUUUACUUGACGUUUUUUUAGUUUGAAUACAGCAAAAUUUCAUGAAAUUUUGAAUUAUUUUACGUUAGCUUUUACUUGACGUUUUUUUCCACGUCAAGAUAAUGCAUAAUUUACUUGACGGUCUUUUAGUGUCAAGUAUAAUGCAACUUUACUUGACAUCUUUUUCAUGUCAAGUAUAGUUAACAUUUUUAUUUUGUCAAGUAUAAAAAUAAAAAUACUUUUUAUUUCCCUCUUUUAAAUUUUUUUUAGUUGGAUUUCUACCAACGUUUAUUUUAAUUUAUGGUCAAGUAUCAUGUGUGGAUAAAUAUUUUAAACAUUUGUCGACUUAAUUUACGUGGCGAAAGAUCCCACACCUUUUAGACAUAUUUAUGCCACGUAAUUUACGUGACGAAAGACCCUAAAUUUUUAUAUGCAUUUAUGACGACUCAAAAUUUAUACAUAUGACAGCGAAAAUAAACAUGAGCAUAUGUUUUUUUUUAAAAAAAAAAUAUAAUUUCAGUUUUUUAUGUUUCUUUAAAAAAAAAAAAACAUAAUCAUUUUUUUUUUUUUUUUUAAAAAAAACAUAAUUUCUUUUUUACUUCUUCCUCAUUUUUUACUUUUUCCCUCCAACAUUUCCCUCCACUUUUCUCUCUCCCAUACAACAUUUCCCCCCAAUUUGCCGCCUCCUCUUCUCACAGAACGCAACCCAACCACUAUCCUUCCGAUUUCCCUCUUCCUCUUCUCACAACCUACCAUCUUAACGCCGCCGCUACCCUUUCUCGAUUUCCUCUUCCUCUUAUCGCAACCCACCAUGCAAAUGUCGCCGUUAUCCUCCCCAUUUCCCUCUUCCUCUUUCUCGCAACCCAGCAUUCGAACGUCGCUGCUACUUGCUACCAUCUGAAUGUCGCCGAACGCCACUGCUAUCUGCUAGCAUUGAACGUCGUUGGAGGCCGCACUCCUUUGCUCACCAAACUCGUCGUAAGUGCUCCAUUCGUUGCAGCUCACCCUAAGUAAGUUUAACUUUAGUUUAUUUAUCAAGAUUUCAAAGCCUCCAACAUUUUGCUUGAUUGUAUAAGAUUUGAUAUAGAUUAGUAUAUUGUUAUUUGUGUUGAAACCAAGGUUAAUGUAUUCCUAUAUUGAAUUGUAUUUUUUUUCAAGAUUACUUUGCUAUAUGUUUUUUAAGAUUACAUUGUGUGCAAGAUAUAUCGAUUUUGCAAAGCUAUAGUUUUUCUAAUUUUCUUUCUUCACUACUAAUUGGAAACAUUAUUUGUAUUCCCAUACUUUUGAAUUUUUUGAAGAACAUAACUUGGUUAUGAUAUUUGAUGUCUAGCAAUUAGUGAUUUGAAGCACAGAAGCCGUGAGUCGUGUCAGUUUGUUUUGUUUAUUUGUUUUUCUUUUUAAACUAUUAUUUAUUCUCUUUAGAAACCAAGCAACAAUAAAGUCAUAGUUUGCGACGAGAAAUUGAAGAACAUAUUUGGAGGGAAAAAUGAGGUUGGAUUUUUGAGAUUGUAGGUUUGAUAAGUACUCCAGACUUUCUAUAAUUAUUCAAAGUAUGGAAAUAAACAUAAUAUGGACCUUCUUUUUAGUCCAUGAAGAUUAACUUUUUGUUUUGUACAAGGGAAGAGUACUAACUAUUGCUAUCGGAAAAUGUUUGCUUGAUUCUAAAAUCUUGGUUUGUUCCAUUCGACGUGACUAACAAUUUUUAAUAUGUUGGAUGAAUUUAUUUUUCAUGUAUUUUGUUACAUAACUUAGGUUCACUCGUGAGGGAUUAAUUAUCAAGCUAGUGGAUGAAUACUUAUUGGAUCUUGAAGGAGAUUUAAAGGUAUAGAUGUCUACAUCUUUAACUAGCCCUUCUUUUUUUUCUUCUUUUUUUGUGCUUUUAACUACCCUUCUUAACAAUGUUAAUUGUUCCAAAUUAAGCAAUCGGUUAUAUUUCUCUCCUAAGUAAAAGACAUUUAAAGUUGUGUUAAUUAGGGUCAUGGCUUUUUAGAUUCUCUAUAUUUUAUUGGUUGCUAUUCACAUCUUAUAUUUUAUUGGUUGCUAUUAGUUGGACUGGUCAUUAAUUGUUGCAUAAGACAGAUUUAUCUUGUACAACCUUUCUAGAGUCUUGUACGAAUUUCUUCAAUUUGCUACACGAAACUUUAGAAUUUUUGUCGAUUGGAGUUCUUUUUGCUUGUUGAUUAUUGAUCGACUAGUUAUUUUGUUUUUCACAUUUUGAAUUGUUUUGUAGUGAAGGCAAAAAGGUGAAUUAAUAGUUUUGAGUAGAUGUGGUUUCCUUCAAAAUGAUUGACCGCAAGAGUGAGUUUAAAUUUUCUCUGAAGGAUAUAUUAUUUUUUUAUUUUGUUUAGUGGAUCGGUUUCAUAUUUGAAAUAUUUAGUUAUUGGUUUAGGGUUAAGCUACUUGGUUAGUACAAUCUUAUUGGUUUGUUUUGUUUGUUUUUGGUAUUUAGAAUGAUUAGGGCAGAGUGUUGUUCGUUUAAGGGAUUGAAUAUUGUGAAUCGGGCUUUAGUCAUUAAUCGUUAUGUAAUUACGAUGGUUAAUCUAGUAUUUUUGCUUCUCAUCUUUGCCUCGAUACUUGGAGUUUCAUUAUGGUCAUCAACUCCAUUCACUUAGUUUAGUGUGUAGUUAUGUGAGCCCUAGGUUUCUUAGAGAUUAUGUGUUGCAUAUUUUGUUAGGAUUUCUACGUCUACGCUUAGCAAUGCUCAUGCAUAAAAGAGAGAAGGUACGUGAUUUUUUCUAAUCAUUUUUGUUUUCUUAUAUGAAUUGUUUUUGUAAUGGCAUUAAUGAUAAAUUUGGCUUAAGACUACGACGAAUUUGUGCUCAUUUUUUUGGUCUGUGCUCAUUUUCAAAUCCAUAAAAUAAGUGCAUUAAGAAUUUUUAUAAAUGGUUAUAUAUAUUAUUUAACUAAUUAAACUUGUUGAUUUAGUGGUGAUCCAAUAUUUGAGCCAUGAAAUUAAUAGUGUUUAGACUAGAUUUGUGUUCAAGUAUGUGAAUUAUCAUCACUUGUUGUGGCUGAGAGAAAAAUGCAAUGAUCCUUUCUCUUGAAUCUUGAUUGUUGUAUUGUGUAGGAAGAGAAGGCUAUUGACCGUGGAAUUCUUUCCUUGCUCCAACCUGCAACUUUGGUUCAAACUUUUGGACAAAGGAACCAUGUUUGCUUGAACGAGGGUCCAUCAUUGUUCCUCCAUACUGUCCUCCCUAGAAAAUGAAAACCCACCUAAUCCCCUUGAAACUCCUUGCUCUAUCAUCAUCUAUUUUGUGGAUUGUUUUAUGAUGUUAACAAUGACCAGAAGGUGCGUGUUGGUUAUGUCAUUAUUAGUUUUUUACAUUCCUAGAAUAGAACAGGGUUGAAUACAACACUAAUAGGGUAUAGAAGUUCGACUUUGUUGUGUUUUGACAAUUUAAUUGAACCUACAGAGGUGCAAGAGCAGUUGUGUGGGAGAACUUGAAAAAAAUCCUCUCUUUAAUAUCUUUACCGACCAUCCAACGACGUAUUAUGAAGAUAUGCACAGGGAAAUAUUUUGUUUAUGUCCUCUUGGACAUCUCUAUCAACCAUCCAACGACAUAUUAUGAAGAUAGCUAUUAUUAUUGAUUUAGAACAUGCCACAUAUAGUAAAUUUUAGCUAACUAUAUUGGAUUGAAAUUGUGUAAUUGUUGAUGACAUUGUUGAGAUUAAUGAAAUUAUUGUUGGUUUAUUAAUUAUACUAAAUUAUUCAUCAUUUUUUUGUUAUAAAUCUACUAGUUGAAUAAUUUAUUUUGUUGAUGGAUAUGUUUUAUUGAAUGAAUGUACCUAAUGCAAGAAAUGAAAAAUUGUGUAUUAAAUAUAUUAAUAAAUGAUAUACUUAACAUUAAAUACAUGUCAAAUAUACUAUUUCACUUGAAUUAAAUAUAAAAAUUUACUUGAUGGAUAAAUAGUGUCAAGUAUACUAUCUUACUUGAUGGGUAGAUAGUGUCAAGUAUAUUAUCUUAUUUGACAUGUAAAUAGUGUCAAGUAUAUAAUCUUACUUGACGUGCAAAAACCGUCAAUUAUAGGACUUUAUUUGACACGUAAAAUGCGUCAUUUAUAUGACCUUACUUGACACGUAAUAAGCAUCAAAUGCGAUAGAUUCUUGACGUUAAUACAAUGUCAAGUAAAUGUAUACUUAACAUUUUUUUAGUGUCAAGUAAUGCGACUAUACUUGAUAGUCGAUUACUUGACGCUUCUAAAAACGUCAAGUAUACGUUUACUUGACAAUGUAUUCACGUCAAGUAAACCAAUUUUUGUAGUAGUGUUUCUUUCUCCCAUUCACUCAAUACACUUGCAAGAACCUUCAUUUUUUUUGUAUUUAAAUUUUCUUGGCACCAUUCUUUUUUUAAUUAUCAAGGCUUUGUUAUUGUGUACCAGUAUUGUGUCGUGCCUCCUUCACUUCUCAUCAUCAUUUUCAUGUCACAUCUCUACCUUGUCAAUUUUCGUUUUUCACUCAGCUUUCUUUCUUAUUUUGUCUUCACUACUUUCUUCGCUCCUUCUCAAGCUCUAACUUUUGCUAUUAUCAACCAGUCUCAAAUGACCAUUGGAAAACCUAUCGCCCACUGAGAGGCAGCCAAUAUAGUAAUGCCUCUAAUGAUAAACUCCAAUGAAAUCAAAAGUUCUUCUUUAAGAUUUGGAAAAAUAUAUUAGAUAAACUCGGACAUGGGGACGCGGUGAACGCAGACGUGGUGAACGCGGACGACGGACGGUCAACACGGCAGAAGUUAGAGAUCCUCAGAGAGAACUUGGCAUUUUCGAAUGCGGUAGAGACAAGUCUAGGGCUUCGAAGGAUUCUUCUUUCUAUCCAAACAGUCCAAAGUAAGCCAGUUAUGGAGGGAGGAAUAUACAUUAGAGAGCUCAGUUAUGGAUGGAGGAAUACACAACUUUUUCUCAUGGUCAUUUUCCUCGUGGGCAUUCUCUUCAUGUUUCUUCUUAUUCGACUAAAAUACAAGCACAAAUUAUUCUUCGCCUUCGUAUAGGUUUGUUUGAAGAAGAUUAAAAAAGUCCUUAAUUUAUCUCGACACUUCCAAAACCAGAAUAUAAUACCCGUGCUACAUAAAUCCCUCUUUCCAAAUAGUCGAACAUGAACUAUCCAUGCAAAUCUUGAAUAAACAAGAGAAACCCUAACUAAACCCAAAUAGAAAAUACGCUGCAAUCUAAAUAUACUUAAAGAAACACAAAGAAGUUUUAAUGCUGUGGGUUUUUUACUGAUCUUCUUCAACAACAAAAUAACUCAACGCCACAGUUCAAUUUUUCCUUCCACGAAUUGGGUUUUAAAGAGUUUUCACCGCGAGUUUAUCUUUUUGGUUCGACAAGUAACAACAUGUGAAUCCCCAAAUGCAAGGUUUUAUUAAAAAAUAAAAAUAUAAUUUUUUAAAAAAUUAUAAUACCUAAUUUUUUUUUAUAUAUAUAACCUAAUUUUCUGUCAUUGCAUACUUGAGAGAAAAUAUAUUUUUCAAUUAGCAUAAUAACCUUUAUAUAGUAAAUUAAAUUUGUAGAAUGAGAAAAGACCUUAGAUCCAAAAAAAGUUAUUUAUUUAUUAUUGGAGUGAAUUGUCUAAUUAAUGUAGUUAAUGGAUGGUUUUUGUAACCAUAAAAAAAUAAUGAAAAUAAUUUUCUAAAGAUUGAAUGAAAAUUUGGAAAGUUAAAAGGUUUUAGGAAUUAAAAAAAAGGGUGUAACAUUAUAAAAGACUACCAAAUAUACUGUAAGAGACAUGCAUUAAAGGAGCUGAGGCAUGCAUGCUACAAAUAUACUAUAAAAUAAACCAGAAUUCUUUUUAAGAAAUUAAACAACUAAUUAAAUAUAAAGAAGAAAGAUUAGAAAAUGAAUGAUCAAACAAACUAUGAUCAUUUAUUUUUGACAGGUUCGACGAGUAUCACCUGACAAUUCAUUUUCACCAAGAGAAAAACAUGAGUAGCCUUGGAAUCAAGUUCCUCCGAUAAAAGCCACGGAGUUGAUGGGUUAGAGACAGAACAAGAAUUUGAGUUCAACGAUGUGGAUGGAAAAUUCUGAAACUAGCAGCAACAGGAAGUUAAGAUAACAAAUUAUUUUCAAUAUAGAAAGGCUAAUUGUAAGAAGUUGUUAAUGAAGUGUCCAAAUGCAUUAUGGUAAUAUUGGGUGCAGAUUGUUUGGAAGUUUUAUCCGUGUGCUGUGAAGCACCACCGAGUUGAAGCAUAUGAAACUAGUGUUUAUCUGACAAAAAAUAGUGUCAUGAUCAUUGCCUUUCCAUUCCAUAAAUUUAUGGAUAGCAGAAGAAAGAGAACUCUCAACACAUGAAUCACCAUAAAGACACACAUGACAACAUUAUUUUGGAUGAAGUUCUAAUAUUGCAACCAUGGAGGAAAAAUCAGCAAAUCUUAAAUAGAUGUAGUAGUCCAAAUGAUAAAAGUUUGUCUCAAGAUAAUAUUUCAGUAACUGCAGAUGCAUUGUGCUGAACCUAACCUCUUGUGUUUCACGGUAAUGAACAAGGACAAUGUGUUCAAAGGUCCUGAACAAAAAGCAGAAGCAAGUCAUAAAUUAUAUAAGUAGAACACGAUAUACUGCCACUGUCUAAUUUCAUUUUUCUUUGCUUGUGGCAUGAUGGGGAUAGACCCCACUGAAACAACUGGUAGCAAGCAAUUUAACAAUUUUCUUUCAACCAUAACAUACUUAUCUAGGAGCCAAUAACACCGGCGAACAAAGGUUGGGCUAUCUAGUCCGUGGGCAUAGUAUACAUGUAUCCUUUCUACAUUACCAACCUGCUGAAGAGAAAGAAAAGAUUAUCAAAGCACACCUUUCCUUGGUUAUUAAGGCUGUAAAAGAAUGAAAAUUACCAUAAAUCUAAACAUAGUUAAUAUUAGACCAUUGAACAACCUAUAGAUUCAAAAGGAAAGACUCAAACCACCAAUAGACUGGUUAAUCAUUUAAAAUGAUCUCCAACAACAUGAUACGCAGUAUAUCGUGCUAGAUCCAUAAUUACCACAUGUGGACUCCUAUGGUAAUUUCAUUGAUGAUACGCAGCUAGUAGGCAAGAUUAUGAAAUGAAGACGGUAUGUGAGACGAUUGAAAAGAUCAAGAUGAUAAAAUUAUAGGGAUUUGAAUUUAUAUCUUAAGAACACCAGAGUCAAAUGCUUAAGAUGAUUAACUGUGUUAAAUUUAACUCUAUAAUAUAUAAAUUAUUAGCAAAAACAGUAGAAAUUACUUCAAAUUUGUAGAGAGAACAUAUAAAUUAUAUUCUAGAGAAAGAGCAUCUGAAUUAUAUUCUACAGAAACACGAGCCCAUAGCAUAUCUACUGAGUAGCAAUGACAGUGAAAAAGGGAAUAGUAAGUAACUAAUCUCAUAAACCCCUUUCUCACAUCUAACCAAGUUCUUUCACAACAUGCAAAAGCAUCAAAAUAUUUAAGAAAACUUCCAAUAUUGCAUUUGGAACUCAUUGAUUGACUUCAACGUUUAAGAGUCAUAAAAGACACAGCUUACUUUCUCACCUGUCACCACUAAGCCUAUGGCAACAUCUUUUUAUAAGAUAUUCAGCUAAUCUUUAGAUUGUUUACCGAAUAAUCGUCUAUUGUUUUGUAAUUGAUCCCACCAAGCGCUUGCGCCACCUUGAAGUUUGAGAGCAACUAAUCGAACCUUCUUGUGUUCGGGUGUAUUGGCAUAGUCGAAAAAAUUUUCUACGUUCUUGAUCCAAUCAAGAAACUUCUCCACGUCCAUUUGACCAUUGAAGGUAGGGAGAUCCACUUUCAUACGUAUUUCUUGAUCUUCUUGAAAGUAUGGUCGAAGUCCAAGCCUUUGUUGAGGUUCUUGAUGAAUGUUCAGCAAGUUGUCUUCAUCGGAAGAGUCAGAAUCGUUUAAGAAAUUUCCAAGUACGUUGUUUCCAUACAAUCGAUUAUUGUGGAUGUGAAUAGGUUGAUUUCUUAGUAGUUCUUGGUUUACAACAGGGUUUAUUGGUUUUUCUUGUCUUUCUUGGUUUGCUGCAAUUGGGUUUCUUGGGGCUGAAUUGCUUCUUCUAAAGGUUGGACAUGAAAUCGGGUAAAAAGGUUUGUUAAUUCUACUAACGAUUGCUGUAUAUUCGACUGCCCUUUUCGAAGUUCUUCAAUAGCUUGUUCUACCAACUGCAAGCGUUGGUUGAAGGAGGCUUCCGCGUCCAUGGAUAAGAGUGGUAGGAUCCAAGUUUUUUUAGGGAAGAGUGAGCUAGGAUCACGCUCUGAUACCAAUUGAUGCAGUAAUUGCAAAGCUAGAAAUCUUUAUGUAUAAUGCCUCUUUUUUUAUGUCUUAUUAAUGAAAAUGAGAAGCUUUUUUAUAGGCUGGAGAUUACAAGAGUUGUUAAACUAACUUGGGGUUGAGUUAGUUUAACUUGGAGUUGAGUUAGUUAUAACUAACUCAAGAUACAAAAUUGGUAAUUCAAAUAACUAAUCCUAAACUAUAAAAAUGGUAAUUCAAACCCCUCCUCUAGGAUAAAACUCAAGAAACAUCAAGAAGGGAGAUGUUCUACAUCAAAGUGUAGAGAACGAUUCAAAAUCCUUGGUGAAAGGAAUGAAUGUUAACUAAUGUGUGUUUAUGUGAAAUUGUUAUGUUAUGAGUAUGUUAAGGAUAAAGAAAGGUUUAUGCGAGAUAAAAUUAUUUGAUGUUGUUUAUGCGAAAUGAUGUUUAUGAAAAGGUAUUGCGAAAAGGAUUUCAUAAAACCUUAGUCUUUUAGACAUUCUUUCAAAAAUUCAUCUUCCAAGAUGAGGUGUUUAGGCCAAGUAGAGAAGAAGGUUGAAGGAUUUGCAGCGAGAUGACCAGACGUUUUGAAAAUAGUUAAGCAUUGGUUGUUUGGUCAAAGUGUUGUAAUUAUGUAUCAAACACAUGUUAUUAAUAAACAUCUUGGUAGGUAUUUAUUAUACUUGCACGCCUACUCUCACAUUUAGCCAUAUGUUGUACUUUGUUUUCCACCUUGACUUUUAAUGACACACAAACCAACUUUCCAAGGAAUUCCCUUUCAUUUUCCUAUUAACUCAUAUUCUCUUUUUUUAUCAAGUCCUUGCUAGAGAAAGUGGACUUUGAGUUGUUGGACUUUAGUAUUGCAUGGACAUACAAUUUUGAAUGAAAAAUCCUUAUAAAUGGGGCCUUUGAACUCAUUUGAUGGGUUGGCUAUUAUAUUUGGGCUUUCACACCAAAUGGAAUUUCUUUUUCUUAUUUACUUAAAAAAAAAAGAAAAUUUACCACGCCCAUUUUUUUUCAUCUAUUUCUCGUCCGGUUCUUUCAUCCAACGGGUCCCACAACUCGAUUAUGAGUCUAGAGGAUACUAAGUCAAGUGGUUGUUCGAAUAAAACGCAGCUUCAAAUGUAAGUAUUCUAAAAACCUUAUUUUUUGGUUUAGUCUCGUUAACUAAGCCCAAUUAGGGUAGAAUUUCGAUUCUUUUUCUGUUGUGCAUGUCUUAGUUCUAUCAGUAACUCCUUUCAGGGUGAUAGCUCUCAUCAGCAGACUUUCCAUUGCUGGUUUCUUCCUUAGUCAUCAUUGUAUUGUUGUUUUCCACAAUAGAUAGGGUGAGUUGCAGUUUUACAUGAAAUGCACUGCUCAACCCACACUCUUUUCUCACUAGUUCCUUAUUCUCAAUCUUCAACGCAAAUUUCAUCAUCUGGGCCAACCCAAUCGGUUCCACGGUUUCCACUUUUUAUUCAUGGGCUAAGCCCAAUCAUCAAAGUCUCCUCUAACACUACCGUUUGAAGAAAUGCUACCAGAGCUAAAUAUCGAUCAAAUCGGUUGCGGUAUUCUUCUACAUUCAUUUUCUGUUUGAUUGAGAAAAAUCUUCCAACCAAAGUUCCUUCUCGAAUUGAUCGAAACUGUACAAGCAUUCGUUCUUUCAGGUCAGCCCAAUUCUUAAAAACUUCCAACUCUUCUUGUGCUUGGUACCAAUCCAAUGCCAGAUCAUCAAAACUAAUAACGCCUGUGGUUAAUUUCUCUGAAUCGGUAAGAUCAUGUAUCUUAAAGAAGCGAUAGGCUCUAAAUGUGAGACCCAUUUCUAAUUUGAGUAAUGAAGUAAAAUUUGGCUAGGUAUUAAGAAUUUGGCGUUUGAAUAAAUCAACGAAAAGGAUUAAGCGAUAAAAAAAUUUAUGGUUAAGUAUACGUUAUUGCGAUUCAGUGGGUAGUUCGCGAAGGAAGUAAAAUUCGGCUAAGAAUUAAGAAGUUGGUGUUCAAAUAAAUCCAUGGAAAGAUUAAGUGAUAAGAUCUUUUACGGUUAAGUAUACUUUUUUGCGAUAAGUGGGUAGUUCGCGAAAGAAGUUGUGCGAUAAUGUAACACCCCGAACUCUAAGGUAAUUAAUUUAAUCGGACCAUUCGAUAUUUUUACUCUUAAUUUUUGUUCGACGUCAUUUUGUUGUUUUGUCUUAAAAAAAAAGUGUUGGAAAAGUCUUUCAUAAUAAUAAUAAUAUAUUAUUAUUAUUAUUAAUUAAUUAGCAUAAAAAAAAGGAAAAGAAAAAGAAAUUAAAAUAUCUUUUUCCUCUCUCCCCUCUCUCACGCGUGCGACACCCCUCUCUCCAUCUUUUUCAUCUUCUCCCCUUCCCUUGCCGUUCAUUGGUUCGCCCACCGCCGCGUGACCUCUGCCCAGCCCCACGCGUGACCUCUGUCUCCGUCGAAGCCAAGUCCAACCGCGUCCAUUCCUUUUCUCUCUUCUUCUCUGUUCGUGAAGCCCAGUCGCCGCGUCAGAUCGUCGAUCGAUUUUGAGGCAGCGCGCACGCCUCCUUUAGCCGCGCGUUUCCUCUUCUCCAGCAACGUGUUUUUUCUUCUAACCGGUAGACGUACAUCUAAUCUAUUUGCACGAUGGUUUUUUGUUUAGAAUCGAUUGCCUGCCCCUAUUUUUACUGAGAUCCGUCGAAGUAUUGUUGGUAAGAUUGAAGUUAUGAAUUGUAGUCGUUUUCAAAACAAUUUAAGUAUGGGUUGUGAUGUUUUCAAGGUGUUCAAACGUUACGGAUGGGUUAUUGAUAAUUUGAUAAUUAUUCUUGAAGGUGUGAAAGGUAACCUUGGAUCACUUAAAUUCACAACCAAUUUGUGAAUUUUGAUUUCGGUUUGCUUAUUUGGAUUGUUUCGUGGACGAUAGUUGAUUAAGGGAGCUUCCCUAACUUUGAGGUAAGGGACUUUCUACUGGACUACCUAAAGUUUUUGAGUUGUGUUGGACUGUAUGGAUGAUGAUUAAGAUGUACACGUUUGGUUGCAGACUAAAUGUUUAGUGUAUGUUGUAUUUGACUGGAAACAUAUAUAUAAAUACAUUGAUGUGUGAAUUGAUGUGGAUUGCCGAAAGUAUACAUGUGAAUGACUGAAAUUAUGCUUAUGUGUACAUGAUGAUAUUAAUAGAUUGUGCUGUAUAAAGAUUUGGAUGUGAACUAGUGAAUUUGUUUCGGUUGAAUGUGGAUUAUACUGAACUGUGGUUUGCGCUGGUAAAAAUGAGGGGUGUUGUGACUUUGUUGUUUACUUGACAGAUGUAUUAAAAUGUUAUCAACGACCUUCGAACUUAAGUGAGAUAGGUUGACUGUUAGAAUGUUGAGUGAAAGAACUUUAUAUUUUGAAGUAACUGAAAGAUGUCAUAAAUUACCGUAAAGAUGGUUAGAAUGGAUUGAGGGGAAAAAUUGUUAGUUUUAUUGGGAUGUAUGCCUUGUAGGUGUCCUACGGGAUCACCAAUUUUUAUGCGACCUUCGGGAGCAUUAGACUGAUAUGUGUUUCUGCAGAACACUAGACUGAAAUGUACGUCCCUCGGGGCGUUAGACUGAAAUGUGCAUCCUACGGGAUCACAAGACUGCGACUGUACAGGGUGUCCCAAUAGAAUGUUAACAAUUUAUUUUCCCCUGACGGGACCAGUAGAGGGUCUCUUACUGGGUAUUUUUAUACUCACCCUCCUUAUGUUUAAUUUUUCAGGCAAAGGUAAUAAAGGCAGCAAACCGGCGAGGGGCAGGAAGGAAGCGUGACCGCCACAGGGGACACUUUAAAAUUUUGCUUCCGCUUAGUGAUUUAUAGUAUUAUUUGUAUUCGAACGUGAGACUGUUUAGAAAAUUUUGAAGUUUUAAAGUAUUCAAAGAUUUGAAACUUUUUAGUUUUAAAUUUUCAUGUGAAUUUUAGUAAUUUAAAACUGGGGCCCAAACAAACAAAAUAAAUUUUGUUCUUUUGAGGUUUUAAAUUUUAAUUAACCAAGGUCUUUUGUCAAAAGUUAAUGACCUCGACUUAGGUAAAAAGUUGGGUCGUUACAGAUAAGAAGCGAAAAAGUCUUUGCGUAAGUUAAGAAAUGAAAGUUUUGAGUGUUAGACUAGGAGUUUUGGGUGGUCUUCGCGAGAAGAACCAAGUGUUUCGUGGAGAAGAAGUCUACGAGGAAGCCUUGGAGUUUAAGUUCGUGAUAAGAGUUUUAUGCGAGUAAAAGUUGGUUAGUUCAGGUGGAACGUUUCUUAUAAUAAAAAUAUAAUCAAGCGAUAAGGUUAUUCACGAGAAAUGUUAAGUGGUUGAAUUUAUUCACGGUUUGGGUUAGGCGGGGAGCAAGGUUUGUAAAGAAAAUGUCAAAUCUGAUUUGACAUGGGUUAACAUGUAAGAUUAAGGAUUUGAGCAUGACUAGGUUAAAUAUUAAGGAUUUGCAUGACUAAGUUAGUAUAAGGGAUCUAUAAAAUAGGAGAAUUUAGGUAACUAAGGAGGGGAUGACGAGAGUUUUGUUGAAAUGUUAAAGUGUUGUUGGUUUAGCCACGCGAAAAGAUGGUUGUGAGAAGGACUUCUUUAGUGAAGUUUGGUGAGUGCUUUUCAGUCAAAAGAAUUUAUGUUAAGAAACUUUAUUACGAUUUCUCUUUACUGAUUUGAAAGAAGAAUUCAGAUGAGAAUGUUUCAGAAAGAUUUCUACGAAAAGUUAUGUUUUCAAGCAUUAUUUAUAAUAUUAAAGCUUGAUUUGAUGACUAUGAUUUCAAUACUAUGUUUCUUUGAGAUGAUGCUAACUUUUGUGUGCACAUAAAGAGUGAAGGCCACCAUGGAGUGUACAAACUACAUGGUAAUAAGAAGCUGACUUAUGCAUUGAAAUGAGCGUAUAAAGCUUAGCGGUAUAGCAACAAAGACGAAUUUGUAUGUUCUCAGAUGCUGUUGAUACAGUAGUCUAAACGCGAGGUAAUGAGACCAAGCGUAGAGAACGAUUCGGGAUCCUUGACAAAAUGAAAUGAUUUUUUAAGCAUAAAGAAAGGUUUAUUCGAAAUGAAAUAAUUUUUCGGUAUAUUUAAAUGAUUUGAUAUUAUUUUUACAAAAUGAUUAUGAAAAGGUAUUGUGAAAGGUUUUCAUAAAACCUUAAAGGAUUUAAAAAAAAGUGGACCAUACAACUUAAUUCCAUCCACUAUCCUCUUGUCCAACAUGAAACUUUAUCUUAGUAAAACUUCUUGAUCCACGAUUUUACAAAAAUAUUCAAAACAAUACCAUACUACACCAAAUGUGAUAUUUUGGUAACACUUAAAAUGGUCAGAAAUACCAUUUUCCUGACUUUUUUUUCAUCGACCAUUAAAGAAAAAGUAUAGAUGAUGUUGUACAAAAACUUCCAAACCAUUGUGUUAGUUAUCGUUUUGGAUGAGGGUUGGGGUAGAGCAUCAAUACUUAAAGGUUGUUAAGAAUUAAGACCUAAGACUUGAAAACGAAAUCGCCUGCCUGGUUGACAACAACACCAUCCCACUAGAGUGCACAAUGAUGAUUUAUUGCAUUAAGAAGAAGAUGGCAGUUAACCUUAGCGCCAUAAUCAGAACCUCAAUCCUCCCUUUGAUGAAAGCACCUAAAGGUGUCAUGCCUUUCCCCUCUACCACAUUGAAGCUCUUUGUCUAACACUACACAAAGAAAUGAGGACUCUCUCGAUGCAUAAAAUCAUUGGGAGAUAUAUAAAAAGCGUCAGAAAAGGCUUUUCUGACGCACUAAUAUACGUCGGAACACAAGUGAGGAAAAAUGUAUCGGGAGAGGAACUCCCGAUGCACAAUGUUGUGCGUUGAGGGUUUCUAGACAUCUUCCGCCGUUGUAUGAACGUCGAAGAUGUUGUCAAUAUAGCAUCGAGAGAUGUCUAGGAACCAUGCGUCGGGAGAUCCUCAUUUUUUUUUAAAAAAAAUAACUUCAUUUAAUUCCUAAAUUCAAAUUGAAAAUUUUAAAUUCAAACUCAACUUCAACACUUCAACCUCAACUUCAACACUUCAAUCUCAACUUCAACACUUCAAAUUCAAAUUUCUAAAACCUACAACUAAUUCAAAAUUCUAACAACACUUGAAAUUAAAUUUCAUUACUAAAACUUACAACUAAUUCAAAAUCUAAAUACUAAAACUAAUUUGAAAUCUAAAAUCUAACACCUAAAACAAAUUUGAAAUCUAAAUACUAAAACUAAUUAACUAAAACAAAACAAUAACUAAACUAUACCACUUACCGACGACGACGACGACGGGGCGACAACAGGGACGACAAUGGUGAUGACAAUGCCCUCUUCUUCUCAAUCUUCCUCUCGGUCUCCCUCUCCCUCUCUCAUUUUCUUUCUCUUUAAAUAAAGUUAAGGGAGAAGAAUGGAAUGACAGAGAAGAAGAAGAGGCUUCUCCGCUGCCACCGCUGCUCAAGAGGAGAAAUGUCCACGAUGAUGCGUCUAACUCGUAUAAAAAGGAAAAAAGUCGAAAGCUAAACGUGGCCAUCGACCCUAAACCUCUUGCAAUCUGACCCCUAACUCUCUCAUUGCCUCCUCCAAAAUCCAAAUCCUUCAAUUCUAGUCCUCAUCCAAAAAUUGAAACUCCCCCUCAUCAAUCCUACCUAAGUCCUCUCGCAUGUCUAUUAUCCUCUCACCACCAAAUCCCCCAUCAUUAUAACAACAUCCUUCACCUCACGACCUGACCGAACAAGCCCUUACCCGAUCAAAAGGGCAUUGUUAGCGAAGAAGAAUUCCUUAGGGUUGAGGAGGAAGACCUGCAUCACAUUCCUCUCCCUUCGCACACUACUAUACGUAAUUCCAAGGAGGAAGACUUACAUCUCGCGUGUAAACACCGAUACCCAAUAAUCCUUAAUUCAUCUAAAGAACUCAAUAGGACAUUAGGGGUUGAUGUUAGGAGAAAGAUGGUUUAAGGUUGGAUAGUUUAGUUGAAGUGUUAUGGAAGAUGUGUUAAUAUUUUUAAGAUGAUAAAAGAAAAGUGUCAUCGUAACAAAGAAAGGCCUAAAGGGUGUUCGAAAAUUGGCUAAGUGUUGGCUAGGGCAUGUUGCAUACUCUAGGCGGCCAAAAGUGUCAAGCGAACCUCUAAAGAGACAUGUUGGGUGGCCAAAGGUUGAGAUGUGGUAUGGCCGAAAGGUGUCAAGACAACCUCUAUAAGACAAGGCUAUAUGACCAAGGGUAUGCGCUAGGCAAGGAAGCUAAGCAUCUAGGAAAUGUCAAGAAACUCCAAAAAAGUUAGAACGUGGAUAAGGAAUGUCAUGCAACAAAGAGGUGGGCUAUGUGGACAUAGGUCAUGCGGCCAAUGGGGCAAUUCAACCAAAUGCUAGUCAAGAUGGCAUGGUGUUUGAAGGCAUUGAGGGAUGUUUGGGAGAUUAGGCGAGAAAAAAAAGUCUUAGGCAUUCUUGGCAGUAAGAAUUUACUAAAGAACCCUCAUAGAAAAAGGGAUAUGCGUCCAAGGAUGACUUAAGCAAUAUGAGGUAAGAUGUGCGGUAGAGUACAAGUGGACAACAUACAAGAUACCUAAGUUUUGCCAAAUAAGUGUCUUGCAUGAGUUGGAAAAUGGCAAGUAUGGGCGUAAGAGGUGAGAAAAAAAGGUUCAACCAAAGAGCAUGCAAGGAUCACUAUAUGUACAACUUUGGACGAAUUAUGUUAACAAUCAACUUGUGUUAAUUGGGUAACUCUACUUCGAAAAUCUCCUAAAUUGAGUGUAGUAUCAAGAGAAAGGCAUCCAAGAAGAAAGGCAUUGAAGUGAAGAAAGACUCAAAGGUCAUUUUCAAAAAAAAAAAAAAAAACUUGAACAAUGUAGAGUAUUUUGAGCUACAUAACUCAAUACUUGGAAUUUGUUAGUGACACUUGUGUAAGCUAGUGAAGACAUUCUAAGUAAGUUUGUAGAAGGAAUCUUAUUGAUUUAAGCUUCAAAGUCGAGUUAAGUUUCUUGUAGAAAAAUCAUAUUUCUAGACAAGGCCAUGGGUGGGUUGAUUGCCAGGAUGACAAGGUGAGAUGAGCGUGUGUUUUGAGCGAAAGAGGUUAUUUAGGCUUGGGACAUGCAAGAAGCAUGUCCUGGCAUGAUCAAGCAGCCUGAGCCACGCGUCAUUACACACUCUAUUAUGAAAGUUGAGUAUAUUGCUACUUGUGAAGCGCAAAAGAAGCAGUUUUGGUGAGGAAGUUCUUGCAUAAUUUGGAAGUUGUUCCAAACAUGAACAUGCCCCAUCACUUUAUAUUGUGAUAAUAGUGGGGCAUAUUACUAAUCCAUUUACAAAGACUCUCAUGGCUAAAGUGUUCGAGGGUCUUCUAGAAAGUCUAGAUCUGCGAGUUAUGUACAUUAGGUAAUCUAGGAAAAGUGGCAGAUGUGUAAUGGGUAUGAGGAUGCCCUAGUUUAUUGUAUUUGUAUAUACACAUUUUAUGUAAUACACUUGUACAUUUUACCAUUUUCAAUGUUAGAGGAUUACUUUAUUAUGAACAUCCCAAAUAGACGAGAGUUUUAGUCCAAGUGGGAGUUUGUUGGAAUUUAUGUCCUAAAACUCGUAGAUUGUAAAUAUAAUCCAUUGACCAUUGUUAAUAAAGUGUUAUUAUUGUAAUAAUUGUUAUUGAUUAUAUUAUUAGUUUUGUCUUAAUAACUCAAAUCCAAUAAACUAACAUCCUAAACUGUUUAAUAAGUAUUGAAUAGUAUGUAGAGACAUACAGGAUCAAUGUUCGAGAUCAGCUUAAAGGGUCUAUAGUAUACGGAUAAGACUGGUACCUUUAUCCUGGUAACAUUAUGAAUACGACUCACUUUGUAUUUGAUACAAAUACAAUGAUCCAAUGUGUUCAUGUAGUUGACAUGCGAGUGAAGGUAUCCUAUGCAAUGAGAUUGCAAUAGACUAGACUGUGAAAUAGUAACCACUUGGUGUUACUACAUUAACUAGUUAGGUUUCUAUUUCACUAGGAUGACCUAGAUAACUUAGUCUUAAUCUUGAGUGUAUUAUGAACUCAAUGAUCUUGGAUGAAUUUGGUUUCAAAUACAAACUUGGAUUCCACAACCUAAACCAAAAUAAAAUAAUAUAUCAUGUUAAGAUGGAUUCACAUAGCAACAUUUAUCAAAUGGUUGCAAUGUUUCAAAUAAGCAACAAUUAAAAUUCACAUAUCGAUUUGGCAUCUAUAAAUAUACAAACUAAAAGUAACUAAAUGUCAAUUAUUUACCCAAUAAGGCUAACUAAGUAACCAACGUCUAAUAUGUUUUGCAAUGAAAAAGGUUGCCAUAUUGUUAAUUUGGCCAUAUUGUGAAGGCAACCUCUUAGAUGUGUUUGUGAGAAAGGAAAGAAAUACCAAAAUAAGUAUGGACUAAGAUAGUAUCAAAUAAAGUUAAAGUUGAAUUUUAAAGCUCUAUUUUUUUUCAAGAUAGAGAAAUUUCAGCUAAAGAGGAAAACACUAAGGACAACCAAGCAAAAAAGUCUAACGAAUAUCAAAAGAGAACAUGCAGGAAAGAAAGAAUGUAAAUAAGGUUUUAUCCGCACCAAGCAAAAAAGUCUAACAAGUAUCAAAAGCUUAAAGUUUUACUAGAAUUCAAAGCUCUAAACUCUAAAGAAUGUAAAUUUCUUUGAAGAAAUUUGUGUAUAAAGGUCACACAGUUGAAAAUUCAAUACCUUUUCAAGAAUGUUGUUGAGAAGAUUAUGGUGAUGAAUCUUUGAAUCCAAAUUAUGGAGACAAGAUAAAUAAAUGAGUUCUGAUUCUAACUGACUGAAUGAGAGUUUAGAAAUGUAACGACCCAACUUUUUUGGGUAAGUCGAGGUCGUUAAUUUUUGACAAAAGACUUUGGUUGAUACAAAAUGAAACGUAAGUCAAUUUAAAAACAAAUUAUGUCUUCAAGUCAGGCCUGAUUUUUAAACAUUCAAGAAAACAUAAAAUAAUACUGUUUGCAACAAACGUUUGUAAACUAAAUUUCAAAUCAAUCUUAAAUAAGCGGAAGCAAUUACACGUUUCCUAUGGCAUCACGCUUCCUUCCUGCCCCUCGCCGGUUUGCCGCCUUUAUUACCUUUGCCUGAAAAUUAAACAUAAGAAGGGUGAGUAUUUUAAAUACUCAGUAAGAGACCCUCUACUGGUCUCGUCAGGGGAAAAAAUAAAUUGUUAAAGUUCUAUUGGGACACCCUGUACAGUCGCAGUCUUGUGAUCCCGUAGGAUACAAUCUCAGUCUAACGCCCCGAAGGACGUACAUAUCAGUCUGACGCCCCGAGGGACGUAUAUAUCAGUCAAGUGUUCUGCAGAACACAUAUCAGUCAAAUGCUCCCGAAGGUGCAAAAUAAAUUGGUGAUCCCGUGGGACACCUACAAGGUAAUCAUCCCAAUACAACCUAACAAUUUAUCCCCUCAUUCCAUUCAACCCAUCCUUCAGAUACUUCAAAAACAUAGAGUUCUUUCUCUCAACGUCCUAACAGUCAACUUAUCUCACUUAGGUCAUAUGUCUGUCAAUAACAUACUAAUACAUCAGUCAAUCAAACUAUACAGUCAAUACACCCCUCAGAUCACCAAUACACAGUCAUACUUUAGCGUAACGACACCCAAUCUAAACGACAAUCACAAGAUCGCAUCUGCAUCUCAUACAAGCAUAAUCUACAAUUUUCGUCCUGUCCACAUCCACACACAUAUAUAUAUAUUCCAUGACAAUCACAAUAUGCAUUCAACAUUAAGUCUACUUCAAUUCCUAUGCAUAUAUAUAAUAUUUUCAGUCAAUCCACAGUGUACAUUUAUAAGUAUCAUCUCAACAUCUUUACUCAGUCAAAGAUAUAAUCUCAGACAUACAAUUCACAAUCAUAAGUGAGUCCAGUAGAAAAUCCCUUACCUGGAUCUUUAUGUAAAAUUCCUUAGUCGAACUAACUUCAACAAACAAACCCCAAGAGUAAAGAAUCGAACACCAACAAAGCUUAAGGCGUAACUCAAGGACACUAACUCCAAAUCACCGAUGUCGCCUUCAAGAACAAAGAUCAAUUCAACCAAUUAAACAACAUCACAUCUUAAUGUAUUUACAAAUGUAAGACCUUAUUACCGAACAAUCUCAUCCUUACCAAUAUCUUGUAACAAGACUUUGACAAUUGACGUUUAAAUAGAAGUUGCCGCAGGAUCUACACAAAAGACAUCGUGCAAAACACUUCUGCACCGCGAACCGGUCCGCGAUUCGUAAAUGGGACAGCGGGUAUCGACGAAGGCAGAACGGUUCGGACGUUCAACAGCAGUUACGCGCGGACGGGAGUAGCCGGCAACGUAGCCGAAUUCGUGCGAUGCGGCGUGACCUGCGUCGGCGAGGCUGUUCGUGACUGAGGCGUGCGACUUGCCUCGCGGACGGAGAUAGAGACGGCGGAGACGGUUGCAGAACCGUGGCUUCGACAGAGACAGAACCGGCUGAGACGGCUGGGCAGCGGCGGAAGAGCAACGGCGCUGCAGAUCUGGACUGGCAGCGGCGCGGUCUUGCUUCGCGGCGGGGUUGCGGACGGAAGAAGAAAAUGGAAGGAAAGGAUCGGCGGCUGGCUGCGGUUGGCGGCGGGACGGGAAGAAGAAGAUAGAGGUGGUGGUUGUGGCUGGGCUGCGGCUGGCCACGAACAGAAGGAGAAGAGGACGGUUGGGGCGGUUGCUGCACGAACGGAUGGGCGGCUGCUAGGGUACCGGAAGGAGAAGAAAAGAAAAAUGAGGGAAGGUUGUGUGCGCGCGAGAGAGAGAGAGAUAAAUUUCUUUUUCUUUUCUUUUUAUUUAAAUUAAAUAUAAAUAAAUAUAAUAUAUUAUAUAUAUAUAAUAAAAACAAAAUAUAUAUAUAUAUACACCUUUGGGGCAUUACAUUCUUCCCUCCUUAAGAAACUUUCGUCCUCGAAAGUUUUACUCCUGAAAUAACUCUGGAUAACGAGUCCUCAUCUCUUCCUCUCGCUCCCAUGUCGCCUCUUCAAUUCGAUGAUUCCGCCACAAAACCUUUACUAAUGGAAUGCUUCUAUUACGAAGCAUCUUUACCUCUCUAGCCAGAAUCUCCACAGGUUGUUCUACAUAGCUCAAAUGCUCAUCAAUCUCCAAGGGUUCAUAGUCCACUACAUGAGAUGUAUCGGCCACAUACUUCCUCAACAUCGAAACAUGAAAAACAUUAUGAACUGCAGAGAGAGAUGGUGGUAAUGCCAAGCGAUACGCCACAACACCAACCCUCUCUAAGAUCUCAAAUGGUCCAACAAAACGAGACUUAACUUUCCUUUCUUCUCAAAACGCAUAACACCCUUCAUAGGUGCUACCUUCAAGAAUACCUUUUCUCCCACAUCGAACUUAAGGUCUUUUCGCCGUACAUCCGCAUAACUCUUCUGUCUACUCUGCGCUGUUUGCAUACGUGCUCUAAUCUUUUGAAUAGCCUCAUUAGUAGACCGAACUAAUUCAGGUCCCAUCAAUCUAUGUUCACCAACCUCACCCCAACAAACAGGGGUUCUACAACAUUUGCCAUACAAAGCCUCAAAUGGUGUCAUACCGAUGGUAGCCUGGAAACUGUUGUUAUAAGAAAACUCCAUCAAAUGUAGAUGAGAGUCCCAACUACCUGGAAACUCUAUAGCACAAGCUCGUAGCAUAUCCUCUAAAACUUGGUUCAAACGUUCAGUUUGACCAUCAGUCUGUGGAUGAAAGGUUGUACUGAAAUCCAAUCUCGUACCCAUAGCAGUCUGAAGUCCCUUCCAAAACUUGGAAGUAAACCGUGCAUCCCUAUCAGAAACAAUCGAUACAGGCACUCCAUGCAGUCUCACAAUCUCAGUUAAAUACAACUCUGCCCACUUACUAGCAGUAUAAGUGGAUUUCCCUGGUACAAAAUGUGCCGAUUUCGUAAGCCUAUCGACAAUAACCCAAAUCACUGUGUAACCCUUCAGGGUUUUAGGCAAUUAUAUAAUAAAAUCCAUAGAUACAUUCUCCCACUUCCACUCUAAUAUACUCAAAGGUUGCAACAAACCUGUUGUUUUCUAUCUUGGUGCUUUAACCUACUAGCACACCAAGCACUUACUAACAAGAUUUUCCAUUUCUCUCUUCAUAUUACGCUAGUAACAAACUCUUUUCAGAUCCGGAUACAUUUUUGUGCUACUUGGAUGCAUGAGAAAUGGGAAACUAUGAGUCUCAACCAAUAACCUUGUCUUAAUUGCAUUUUCUGUUGGCUCACAUAAUUCUCUCUCAAACAUAAGUUCAUCAUCAAAGGAUAUGGAAAACUCCUUAACUUGCCCUACUUCUACUAGGCAAUGCUUCUCAAUCAAAUAAGGAUCAAUGAAUUGAACCACAAGAAUUCUUUGUCUCAAGAUCAGAUGUACUGACAACUGAGCUAACUGUGAGGUGACUCCCCCACUGAAACUACAAUCUCAGCUCUCUCGUGGUUUUUGUCUAAUGAAACCUGUCUGGUAAUAAGUGCUGUCAAAAUGUGAUACUUUUCUACGAAGAGCACCAACUUCCACAUUCGCCUUACAUAGAUGGUACAAAAUCUCACAAUCAUAGUCAUUUACUAACUCAAAGCAUCUUUGCUAUCUCAUACUCAACUUCUUUUGAGUGAAGAAGUAUUUUAUACUCUUUUGGUUAGAAAAUAUCUAUAUCUUUUCAUCAUUCAUAUAGUGCCUUCAAAUCAUUAAUGUAAAAACCACAACUGUCAAUUCCAUAUCAUAAGUUGGACAAUUUUCCUCACGAGGAGUACAAGCAACUACUUUAACUUGUUGAAUAAGAAUACCUUUUAAACUUUCCUAAAAGCAUCACUAUAAAUUACGGAACAUUCUGAACCAUCAUGUACGGUAAGCACGGGAGUUGUACAAGCUUCUGCUUAAGAUCCUGAGCACUAUCCUCAUAGGCUUUGUCCCAAACAAACAGAGUCCCUUUUUCUUAGUUAACUGAGUCAAAGGAGUAGCUAUACGAGAAAAUUCUUAUACAAACCGUUAGUAAUAACCUGCUAACCCUAAAAGACUAUGAACCUCAACUGACUAUGAAAAGUCGAGGCCAACUAGUAACAACUUCAAUCUUUUGUGAGAUCCACAUAAAUGUCACCUCUAGAUACUACAUGGCUUGGAAAGAUACUUGGCCUCAUCCAAAACUCACAUUUUGAAAACUUUGCAUACAAUUCGUUGACUCGAAGAGCCUCUUAAAACCAUGUUAAAUGCUCCUCAUGCGCUGUCUCUAUUUUGGAAUAAAUUAAGAUAUCGUCAAUAAAUACAAUCAUGAAAGUGUCUAAGAGAUCGUUAAAACACUUUGUUCAUCAAGUCGUAAACAUUGUUUGAGCAUUUUCCACUCAAAAGACAUCAUAAUGAACUCAUGAUGUCCAUAUCUCGAAAGAAAAUCUGCCUUAGGAAUGUCACUGUUCUCUAAUCCUCAACAAGUCAUAACCUGAAUGUAAUUCAAUCUUAAAGAACACGGACUUAUUGCAGUUGAUCAAACAAAUCCUCAUUCAUUGGUAAAGAAUAUUUAUUCUUAACCGACACCUUAUUCAACUUUCUACAAUCGAAACAUAAGUGCAUCGACCCAUCUUUCUUCUUAAUAAACAAAAAUUGGUGCACCCCAAGAUAACAUACUUCGUCGAAUGUAGUCCUUGUCAAACAUUUCUUUCAAUUGCACUUCAAAUCUUUCAACUCUGUUGGGGCCAUUUUGUAUGAAGCUUUAGAUAUAGGAACGAGUCUAACUCUAUCUCAAUAGGAAGACCAAUUUCUGUUUAGCGCGGUAUUCUUAGAAACUCUUCUAGAAAAAUAUCAUAAUACUUUUUCACCACUGAUUCAAAUAACAAAGAAACAUCGACUUCUUUGAUGUCUACCACACUAGUCAAAUACAACAGGUACCCUGGUCAAGCAACUUACUAACCUUCAUAGCUGGGAUAACUUUUAGCAAAACGAUAGUUCCAACCUCUUUGUACUUGAAACUAGCCUCUGGAGAAGGAUUAGAAACUACAUUUUCGCUGAACAUUUUAUGUUUACAUGGUUAAACUACAUUCCAAUUUUCAAACUCCAAACUAGUAACUUUUCAUUCACGAGAAACUCAAAAUUGUUUCUUAAAGUCACAUCAAGACAACCAUGCUCAUCUUCCUUGUUUCUUUUCCAAUACCUCCUUUCUAAAACCAUUUAAUGUGUUUCGUAUAACUUGACCGUGUAUUUAGUCCUCUUUAAAACCACCUACAUAACUUAUUUUUCCUUAGAUUUCCAAUCACAAAACAGACAAUUUCGCUAACAACGUCUUACUUUUCUACUACUCGACCACUCCUUUGAACACCUCUACAUGGCAACAUUUUUCCUAAAUUUCACCAUUAAAUCCUUCACCAUUAAAUCAUAACAUUCAUGUAAUUCUAGUUUAACUUAGGCAAGGUCAUAUACAUAAACCAUACAUAUAAGCAUAAAGCAUACCUGACGAGAGACGAAGGGUCGCGUUAGCCAUAGGGACACAAAAACAUAGACUUACAUCGUAAGUCAGUCUACAGAACCUAAAACUUAGGCUCUGAUACCAACUGUAACGACCCAACUUUUCUAAGUAAGUCGAGAUCGUUAAUUUUUAACAAAUAAAGACUUUGAUUAAUAUAAAACAAAACGUAAGAAUUUAAAAAAAAACAUCUUCAAGUCAGGCCUGAUUUUAAACAUUCAAGAAAACAUAAAAUAAUACUGUUUGCAACAAACGUUUGUAAACUAAAUUUCAAAUCAAUCUUAAAUAAGCGGAAGCAAUACACGUUUCCUAUGGCAUCACGCUUCCUUCCUGCCCCUCGCCGGUUUGCCGCCUUUAUUACCUUUGCCUGAAAAUUAAACAUAAGAAGGGUGAGUAUUUUAAAUACUCAGUAAGAGACCCUCUACUGGUCUCGUCAGGGGAAAAUAAAUUGUUAAAGUUCUAUUGGGACACCCUGUACAGUCGCAGUCUUGUGAUCCCGUAGGAUACACAUCUCAGUCUAACGCCCCGAAGGACGUACAUAUCAGUCUGACCCCCGAGGGACGUACAUAUCAGUCAAGUGUUCUGCAGAACACAUAUCAGUCAAAUGCUCCCGAAGGUGCAAAAUAAAUUGGUGAUCCCGUGGGACACCUACAAGGUAAUCAUCCCAAUACAACCUAACAAUUUAUCCCCUCAUUCCAUUCAACCCAUCUUUCAGAUACUUCAAAACAUAGAGUUCUUUCUCUCAACGUCCUAACAGUCAACUUAUCUCACUUAGGUCAUAUGUCUGUCAAUAACAUACUAAUACAUCAGUCAAUCAAACUAUACAGUCAAUACACCCCUCAGAUCACCAGCACACAGUCAUACUUUAGCGUAACGACACCCAAUCUAAACGACAAUCACAAGAUCGCAUCUGCAUCUCAUACAAGCAUAAUCUACAAUUUUCGUCCUGUCCACAUCCACACACAUAUAUAUAUAUUCCAUGACAAUCACAAUAUGCAUUCACAUUAAGUCUACUUCAAUUCCUAUGCAUAUAUAUAUAUUUUCAGUCAAUCCACAGUGUACAUUCAUAAGUAUCAUCUCAACAUCUUUACUCAGUCAAAGAUAAUCAUUCAGACAUACAAUUCACAAUCAUAAGUGAGUCCAGUAGAAAAUCCCUUACCUUCAAAUUUGUUAAGCUCCUUAACCACGUUGAAGUCUAUGAAGAACGAACCUAAACAUUAAGACAAUUUCUCAAUAAUUCCCUUCAACGCAUCAGUCAUUUAAAUUCAACCCAAUGUGAAUCUUUUUGCAACUUACCCAAAUCUUCGCGAAAGAAAUCGAGCAGUGGCUUUGCGAAGAGAUGACGUGCGGCGGAGAGACCGUAUACAGAUGGCCGGAGAGUCGCGCGGCAGUGCAGACAACGGAGGAGAAGGAAUCGGCGGCGGCUGGGCUGAAAACAGAGGAGAAAGGAGAGGGGAGACAGCCGGCGGUUACAGGUUCACGCGGCGGCCUUGCUUCGCGAAAAGAGAUGGCGCCGACGGUUGCAGCGAUGUCCGGCUGGGUUUGGACGGAACGGAGAGGAAAAGAGAAGAUGGAGAUGGCCGACGGCAGUUGCUGUGCGAACGGAUGGGGCGGCUGACUGCGGUUGGCUGCGGCAGGACGGGAAGAAGAAUAGGGAAAAUGGGUGGGCGGCUGCUAGGGUACCAGAAGGAGAAAAAGAAAAAUGAGAGAGGGGUUGUGUGCGCGCGAGAGAGAGAGAGAUAAAUUUCUUUUCUUUUCCUUUUAUUUAAAUUAAGUAUAAAAAUAUAUAUAUAUAUAAAAUUAAAAACAAAAUAUAUAUAUACAUACCUUUGGGGUAUUACAAUGAACUUGGAAAGAGAUAAUUAAGGAUCCUUGAGGAGGUUGUUGAAAGAAGUUGACCUAAAAACUUUUGUUUGUUAAUAAAAAGAAAAAUGAACAUAGAUUCAUCUUCGUCAGGGGUCUUGAUGUUUAAUUUAAUUUAAAUUGUGUAUGAAUUUUUAAUUACGAGAAUUUUAAUAUGUUGCAAGAGCACUAUAGCCAAGGUAUAGAGUGAGGGAGAUAAGGUUUAUAUGUCUUAGAGAAUGGAAAGAUGGAAUUUGUGCUAAAAUCAUAUAGUGUUCCAAAUACAAUUAUGAAUUGGGUAUACUUGCAUUCCCCCUUCUGGAUUGCAUAGCACAUAAAUAUACUCUCAUGGAUUGCAUAGCACAUAAAUAUACUGUCAAAAACAAUAACAUAAAACACAAACUUGAUUUAGUUUCAUUCACACUUGUACACCAACAUGUUUCAAGUAAUGAUCAUAUAUUAAAAAUCAUUUUCAAAUUUGGUAAUAUAAAAUGGAAGAAGUGAGACCUUGAGGUUUUGACCACCAAUACUAUCUAACUGAUGAGUUUAUGAUUUUUGUUUCUACUGUGUUCUUUCCUCAAGCUUUAACUUGUUUUAGGGGCAAGAUGGUGAAGGUCUAGUCCACAACCUUUCCCAAGAAUUUGAUGAUGUUUGGGUUGACCCAAUUAUUGUUAUUGGACACCGUUUUAUGGUAAUUGGUUGUUAUGGUUUUUAAGUGUGUUUUGAUAUCUUGUGUUAAAAAAUAAUUGCAAAAAGUCGGAAAAGUUUGUUAAUGAUUAGGUGUUUUUAAGUUUGUCAUUCCACUUUAAUUCUCACCAGUACUUGCUGAAUGGAAGCCUCUUGUCUAAGACAAUUCGAGUGGAAUAACUCUCGUGACUACCACAACAUUUGGGAACUCACCAAAUGUAAGAUUAUUCCUUUAUCCUAGCAUUUGAUCUCUCUCUAUAAUUUGGUUUGCUAUCGUAAGUUUGAUUAAAAUAAAUGUUGAUAAUUCAACUCCAAUGUUCUUAUUUUCUUGUAAUGCCCCAAAGGUGUAUAUAUAUAUAUAUUUUGUUUUUAUUAUAUAUAUAUAUAUAUAUUUAUUUAUUUAUUUAUAUUUAAUUUAAAUAAAAAGAAAAGAAAAAGAAAUUUAUCUCUCUCUCUCUCGCGCGCACACAACCCUUCCCUCAUUUUUCUUUUCUUCUCCUUCCGGUACCCUAGCAGCCGCCCCAUCCGUUCGUGCAGCAACCGCCCCAACCGUCCUCUUCUCCUUCUGUUCGUGGCCAGCCGCAGCCCAGCCACAACCACCACCUCUAUCUUCUUCUUCCCGUCCCGCCGCAGCCAACCGCAGCCAGCCGCCGAUCCUUUCCUUCCAUUUUCUUCUUCCGUCCGCAACCCCGCCGCGAAGCAAGACCGCGCCGCUGCCAGUCCAGAUCUGCAGCGCCGUUGUUCUUCCGCCGCUGCCAGCCGUCUCAGCCGGUUCUGUCUCUGUCGAAGCCACGGUUCUGCAACCGUCUCCGCCGUCUCUAUCUCCGUCCGCGAGGCAAGUCGCACGCCUCAGUCACGAACAGCCUCGCCGACGCAGGUCACGCCGCAUCGCACGAAUUCGGCUACGUUGCCGGGCUACUCCCGUCCGCGCGUAACUGCUGUUGAACGUCCGAACCGUUCUGCCUUCGUCGAUACCCGCUGUCCCAUUUACGAAUCGCGGACCGGUUCGCGUGCAGAAGUGUUUUGCACGAUGUCUUUUGUGUAGAUCCUGCGGCAACUUCUAUUUAACGUCAAUUGUCAAAGUCUUGUUACAAGAUAUUGGUAAGGAUGAGAUUGUUCGGUAAUAAGGUCUUACAUUUGUAAAUACAUUAAGAUGUGAUGUUGUUUAAUUGGUUGAAUUGAUCUUUGUUCUUGAAGGCGACAUCGGUGAUUUGGAGUUAGUGUCCUUGAGUUACGCCUUAAGCUUUGUUGGUGUUCGAUUCUUUACUCUUGGGGUUUGUUUGUUGAAGUUAGUUCGACUAAGGAAUUUUACAUAAAGAUCCAGGUAAGGGAUUUUCUACUGGACUCACUUAUGAUUGUGAAUUGUAUGUCUGAAUGAUUAUCUUUGACUGAGUAAAGAUGUUGAGAUGAUACUUAUGAAUGUACACUGUGGAUUGACUGAAAAUAUAUAUAUAGCAUAGGAAUUGAAGUAGACUUAAUGUGAAUGCAUAUUGUGAUUGUCAUGGAAUAUAUAUAUAUGUGUGUGGAUGUGGACAGGACGAAAAUUGUAGAUUAUGCUUGUAUGAGAUGCAGAUGCGAUCUUGUGAUUGUCGUUUAGAUUGGGUGUCGUUACGCUAAAGUAUGACUGUGUGCUGGUGAUCUGAGGGGUGUAUUGACUGUAUAGUUUGAUUGACUGAUGUAUUAGUAUGUUAUUGACAGACAUAUGACCUAAGUGAGAUAAGUUGACUGUUAGGACGUUGAGAGAAAGAACUCUAUGUUUUGAAGUAUCUGAAAGAUGGGUUGAAUGGAAUGAGGGGAUAAAUUGUUAGGUUGUAUUGGGAUGAUUACCUUGUAGGUGUCCCACGGGAUCACCAAUUUAUUUUGCACCUUCGGGAGCAUUUGACUGAUAUGUGUUCUGCAGAACACUUGACUGAUAUGUACGUCCCUCGGGGCGUCAGACUGAUAUGUACGUCCUUCGGGGCGUUAGACUGAGAUGUGUAUCCUACGGGAUCACAAGACUGCGACUGUACAGGGUGUCCCAAUAGAACUUUAACAAUUUAUUUUCCCCUGACGAGACCAGUAGAGGGUCUCUUACUGAGUAUUUAAAAUACUCACCCUUCUUAUGUUUAAUUUUCAGGCAAAGGUAAUAAAGGCGGCAAACCGGCGAGGGGCAGGAAGGAAGCGUGAUGCCAUAGGAAACGUGUAAUUGCUUCCGCUUAUUUAAGAUUGAUUUGAAAUUUAGUUUACAAACGUUUGUUGCAAACAGUAUUAUUUUUAUGUUUUCUUGAAUGUUUAAAAAUCAGGCCUGACUUGAAGAUGUUUUUUUUAAAUUGACUUACGUUUCAUUUUUAUAACAAAGUCUUUUGUUAAAAAUUAACGACCUCGACUUACUUAGAAAAGUUGGGUCGUUACAGUUGGUAUCAGAGCCUAAGUUUUAGGUUCUGUAGACUGACUUACGAUGUAAGUCUAUGUUUUUGUGUCCUAUGGCUAACGCGACCCUUCGUCUCUCGUCAGGUAUGCUUUAUGCUUAUAUGUAUGGUUUAUGUAUAUGACCUUGCCUAAGUUAAACUAGAAUUACAUGAAUGUUAUGAUUUAAUGGUGAAGGAUUUAAUGGUGAAAUUUAGGAAAAAUGUUGCCAUGUAGAGGUGUUCAAAGGAGUGGUCGAGUAGUAGAAAAGUAAGACGUUGUUAGCGAAAUUGUCUGUUUUGUGAUUGGAAAUCUAAGAAAAAUAAGUUAUGUAGGUGGUUUUAAAGAGGACUAAAUACACGGUCAAGUUUAUACGAAACACAUUAAAUGGUUUUAGAAUGGAGGUAUUGGAAAAGAAACAAGGAAGAUGAGCAUGGUUGUCUUGAUGUGACUUUAAGAAACAAUUUUGAGUUUCUCGUGAAUGAAAAGUUACUAGUUUGGAGUUUGAAAAUUGGAAUGUAGUUUAACCAUGUAAACAUAAAAUGUUCAGCGAAAAUGUAGUUUCUAAUCCUUCUCCAGAGGCUAGUUUCAAGUACAAAGAGGUUGGAACUAUCGUUUCGCUAAAAGUUAUCCCAACUAUGAAGGUUAGUAAGUUGCUUGACCAGGGUACCUGUUGUAUUUGACUAUUGUGGUAGACACCAGAGAAGUCGAUGUUCUUUGUUAUUUGAAUCAGUGGUGAAAAAGUAUUAUGAUAUUUGUCUAGAAGAGUUUCUAAGAUUACCGCGCUAAACAGAAAUUGGUCUUCCUAUUGAGAUAGAGUUAGACUCGUUCCUAUAUCUAAAGCUUCAUACAAAAUGGCCCCAACAGAGUUGAAAGAUUUGAAGGUGCAAUUGAAAGAAAUGUUUGACAAGGACUACAUUCGACGAAGUAUGUUAUCUUGGGGUGCACCAAUUUUUGUUUAUUAAGAAGAAAGAUGGGUCGAUGCACUUAUGUUUUGAUUGUAGAAAGUUGAAUAAGGUGUCGGUUAAGAAUAAAUAUCUUUUACCAAUGAAUGAGGAUUUGUUUGAUCAACUGCAAUAAGUCCGUGUUCUUUAAGAUUGAAUUACAUUCAGGUUAUGACUUGUUGAGGAUUAGAGAACAGUGACAUUCCUAAGGCAGAUUUUCGUUCGAGAUAUGGACAUCAUGAGUUCAUUAUGAUGUCUUUUGAGUUGGCAAAUGCUCAAACAAUGUUUACGACUUGAUGAACAAAGUGUUUAACGAUCUCUUAGACACUUUCGUGAUUGUAUUUAUUGACGAUAUCUUAAUUUAUUCCAAAAUAGAGACAGCGCAUGAGGAGCAUUUAACAUGGUUUUAGAGGCUCUUCGAGUCAACAAAUUGUAUGCAAAGUUUUCAAAAUGUGAGUUUUGGAUGAGGCCAAGUAUCUUUCCAAGCCAUGUGGUAUCUAGAGAUGACAUUUAUGUGGAUCUCAUAAAAGAUUGAAGUUGUUACCAGUUGGCCUCGACUUUCAUAGUCAGUGAGGUUCGUAGUCUUUUUGGGUUCAGCAGGUUAUUACUAACGGUUUGUAUAAGAAUUUUCUCGUAUAGCUACUCCUUUGACUCAGUUAACUAAGAAAAGGGACUCUGUUUGUUUGGGACAAAGCCUAUGAGGAUAGUGUUCAGGAUCUUAAGCAGAAGCUUGUACAACUCCCGUGCUUACCGUACAUGAUGGUUCAGAAUGUUCCGUAAUUUAUAGUGAUGCUUUUAGGAAAGUUUAAAAGGUAUUCUUAUUCAACAAGUUAAAGUAGUUGCUUGUACUCCUCGUGAGGAAAAUUGUCCAACUUAUGAUAUGGAAUUGACAGUUGUGGUUUUUACAUUAAUGAUUUGAAGGCACUAUAUGUAAUGAUGAAAAGAUAUAGAUAUUUUCUAACCAAAAGAGUAUAAAAUACUUCUUCACUCAAAAGAAGUUGAGUAUGAGAUAGCAAAGAUGGUUUCAGUUAGUAAAUGACUAUGAUUGUGAGAUUUUGUACCAUCUAGGUAAGGCGAAUGUGGAAGUUGGUGCUCUUCGUAGAAAAGUAUCACAUUUUGACAGCACUUAUUACCAGACAGGUUUCAUUAGACAAAAACCACGAGAGAGCUGAGAUUGUAGUUUCAGUGGGGGAAGUCACCUCACAGUUAGCUCAGUUGUCAGUACAUCCGAUCUUGAGACAAAGAAUUCUUGUGGUUCAAUUCAUUGAUCCUUAUUUGAUUGAGAAGCAUCGCCUAGUAGAAGUAGGGCAAGUUAAGGAGUUUUCCAUAUCCUUUGAUGAUGAACUUAUGUUUGAGAGAGAAUUAUGUGUGCCAACAGAAAAUGCAAUUAAGACAAGGUUAUUGGUUGAGACUCGUAGUUUCCCAUUUCUCAUGCAUCCAAGUAGCACAAAAAUGUAUCCGGAUCUGAAAAGAGUUUGUUACUAGCGUAAUAUGAAGAGAGAAAUGGAAGAUCUUGUUAGUAAGUGCUUGGUGUGCUAGCAGGUUAAAGCACCAAGAUAGAAACCAACAGGUUUGUUGCAACCUUUGAGUAUAUUAGAGUGGAAGUGGGAGAAUGUAUCUAUGGAUUUUAUUAUAUAAUUGCCUAAAACCCUGAAGGGUUACACAGUGAUUUGGGUUAUUGUCGAUAGGCUUACGAAAUCGGCACAUUUCAUUUCAAAAAAAAAAAACCAAAAUCCACUUAUACUGCUAGUAAGUGGGCAGAGUUGUAUUUAACUGAGAUUGUGAGACUGCAUGGAGUGCCUGUAUCGAUUGUUUCUGAUAGGGAUGCACGGUUUACUUCCAAGUUUUGGAAGGGACUUCAGACUGCUAUGGGUACGAGAUUGGAUUUCAGUACAGCCUUUCAUCCACAGACUGAUGGUCAAACUGAACGUUUGAACCAAGUUUUAGAGGAUAUGCUACGAGCUUGUGUUAUAGAGUUUCCAGGUAGUUGGGACUCUCAUCUACAUUUGAUGGAGUUUGCUUAUAACAACAGUUUCCAGGCUACCAUCGGUAUGGCACCAUUUGAGGCUUUGUAUGGCAAAUGUUGUAGAACCCCUGUUUGUUGGAGUGAGGUUGGUGAACAUAGAUUGAUGGGACCUGAAUUAGUUCGGUCUACUAAUGAGGCUAUUCAAAAGAUUAGAGCACGUAUGCAAACAGCGCAGAGUAGACAGAAGAGUUAUGCGGAUGUACGGCGAAAAGACCUUAAGUUCGAUGUGGGAGAAAAGGUAUUCUUGAAGGUAGCACCUAUGAAGGGUGUUAUGCGUUUUGAGAAGAAAGGAAAGUUAAGUCCUCGUUUUGUUGGACCAUUUGAGAUCUUAGAGAGGGUUGGUGUUGUGGCGUAUCGCUUGGCAUUACCACCAUCUCUCUCUGCAGUUCAUAAUGUUUUUCAUGUUUCGAUGUUGAGGAAGUAUGUGGCCGAUACGUCUCAUGUAGUGGACUAUGAACCCUUGGAGAUUGAUGAGCAUUUGAGCUAUGUAGAACAACCUGUGGAGAUUCUGGCUAGAGAGGUAAAGAUGCUUCGUAAUAGAAGCAUUCCAUUAGUAAAGGUUUUGUGGCGGAAUCAUCGAAUUGAAGAGGCGACAUGGGAGCGAGAGGAAGAGAUGAGGACUCGUUAUCCAGAGUUAUUUCAGGAUUAGAACUUUCGAGGACGAAAGUUUCUUAAGGAGGGAAGAAUGUAAUGCCCCAAAGGUAUGUAUAUAUAUAUAUUUUGUUUUUAAUUAUUAUAUAUAUAUUAUAUUAUAUACUUAAUUUAAAUAAAAAAGAAAAGAAAAAGAAAUUUAUCUCUCUCUCUCUCGCGCGCACACAACCCCUCUCUCAUUUUUCUUUUCUUCUCCUUCCGGUACCCUAGCAGCCGCCCACCCAUUUUCCCUAUUCUUCUUCCCGUCCUGCCGCAGCCAACCGCAGUCAGCCGCCCCAUCCGUUCGCACAGCAACUGCCGUCGGCCAUCUCCAUCUUCUCUUUUCCUCUCCGUUCCGUCCAAACCCAGCCGGACGUCGCUGCAACCGUCGGCCGCCAUCUCUGUUCGCGAAGCAAGGCCGCCGCGUGAACCUGUAACCGCCGGCUGUCUCCCCUCUCCUUUCUCCUCUGUUUUCAGCCCAGCCGCCGCCGAUUCCUUCUCCUCCGUUGUCUGCACUGCCGCGCGACUCUCCGGCCAUCUGUAUACGGUCUCUCCGCCGCACGUCAUCUCUUCGCAAAGCCACUGCUCGAUUUCUUUCGCGAAGAUUUGGGUAAGUUGCAAAAAGAUUCACAUUGGGUUGAAUUUAAAUGACUGAUGCGUUGAAGGGAAUUAUUGAGAAAUUGUCUUAAUGUUUAGGUUCGUUCUUCAUAGACUUCAACGUGGUUAAGGAGCUUAACAAAUUUGAAGGUAAGGAUUUUCUACUGGACUCACUUAUGAUUGUGAAUUGUAUGUCUGAAUGAUUAUCUUUGACUGAGUAAAGAUGUUGAGAUGAUACUUAUGAAUGUACACUGUGGAUUGACUGAAAAUAUAUAUAUAUGCAUAGGAAUUGAAGUAGACUUAAUGUUGAAUGCAUAUUGUGAUUGUCAUGGAAUAUAUAUAUAUGUGUGUGGAUGUGGACAGGACGAAAAUUGUAGAUUAUGCUUGUAUGAGAUGCAGAUGCGAUCUUGUGAUUGUCGUUUAGAUUGGGUGUCGUUACGCUAAAGUAUGACUGUGUGCUGGUGAUCUGAGGGGUGUAUUGACUGUAUAGUUUGAUUGACUGAUGUAUUAGUAUGUUAUUGACAGACAUAUGACCUAAGUGAGAUAAGUUGACUGUUAGGACGUUGAGAGAAAGAACUCUAUGUUUUGAAGUAUCUGAAAAAUGGAUUGAAUGGAAUGAGGGGAUAAAUUGUUAGGUUGUAUUGGGAUGAUUACCUUGUAGGUGUCCCACGGGAUCACCAAUUUAUUUUGCACCUUCGGGAGCAUUUGACUGAUAUGUGUUCUGCAGAACACUUGACUGAUAUGUACGUCCCUCGGGGCGUCAGACUGAUAUGUACGUCCUUCGGGGCGUUAGACUGAGAUGUGUAUCCUACGGGAUCACAAGACUGCGACUGUACAGGGUGUCCCAAUAGAACUUUAACAAUUUAUUUUUCCCCUGACGAGACCAGUAGAGGGUCUCUUACUGAGUAUUUAAAAUACUCACCCUUCUUAUGUUUAAUUUUCAGGCAAAGGUAAUAAAGGCGGCAAACCGGCGAGGGGCAGGAAGGAAGCGUGAUGCCAUAGGAAACGUGUAAUUGCUUCCGCUUAUUUAAGAUUGAUUUGAAAUUUAGUUCACAAACGUUUGUUACAAACAGUAUUAUUUUAUGUUUUCUUGAAUGUUUAAAAAUCAGGCCUGACUUGAAGAUGUUUUUUUUUUAAAAAUUUCUUACGUUUUGUUUUAUAUUAAUCAAAGUCGUUUAUUUUGUUAAAAAUUAACGAUCUCGACUUACUUAGAAAAGUUGGGUCGUUACAU
rnacentral:lncRNA from 1 species